CCAUCCCGAACACAGAAGUUAAGCCCUUCAGCGCUGAUGGUACUUGGCGGGAGACUGCCUGGGAGAGUAGGUCGUUGCGAUAU
rnacentral:rRNA from 1 species